UCUUUAAAAGAUAUAAUUGUUAGGUGAGAAGAUGAAAAAUUCACUGUACUCUGCAGAGAAGAAAGACAGUUUUCUUUGUAUGAAUGGCAGAACAGCUCCAUGGCAAGACUUGUAGGAUGAGCUGCAUUUAAGCUACAGCCAACAGUACCUCCUUGCAGGUCCACGCACUGGAGGUAACCGAGGUCCUUGCUGUGAAGAAAGGGGAAUAGAGAUGCAAGGGAAUGAUGGAGCUGAAAAGAAGUACAAUAAGAGACUUUGGCAAACUUUUUUCACAGGACAAUGAUUAAUCAGUUUGCUCUCUUCUAUUUAUGAAUCAUCUGGAAGUGGGCUUUGCCACAGCGUAUGCUCGAUCU